rnacentral:rRNA from 1 species
UGGUGGUGCAUGGUUGUCGUCAGCUCGUGUCGUGAGAUGUUGGGUUAAGUCCCGCAACGAGCGCAACCCUUGCUAUUAGUUGCUAACGCGUGAAGGCGAGCACUCUAAUGGGACUGCCCGUGACAAGCGGGAGGAAGGUGGGGAUGACGUCAAAUCAUCAUGCCCUUUAUGAUCUGGGCUACACACGUGCUACAAUGGGCGGUACAGAGAGCAGCGAUACUGUGAAGUGGAGCGAAUCUCAAAAAGCCGUUCUCAGUUCGGAUUGCAGGCUGCAACUCGCCUGCAUGAAGUCGGAAUCGCUAGUAAUCGCGAAUCAGCACGUCGCGGUGAAUCCGUUCCCGGGUCUUGUACACACCG